GCUGGACACAGCGGCGCACGCCUGUAAUCCCAGUGGCUCCGGAGGCUGAGGCAGGAGGAUUGCAAGUUCAAAGCAACUUGGCAAGGCCCUAAGAGACUUAGUGAGACCCUGUCUCUA
rnacentral:sRNA from 1 species